rnacentral:rRNA from 1 species
GACGAACGCUGGCGGCGUGCUUAACACAUGCAAGUCGAACGGAAAGGCCCUGCUUUUGUGGGGUGCUCGAGUGGCGAACGGGUGAGUAACACGUGAGUAACCUGCCCUUGACUUUGGGAUAACUUCAGGAAACUGGGGCUCAUACCGGAUAGGAGCUCCUGCUGCAUGGUGGGGGUUGGAAAGUUUCGGCGGUUGGGGAUGGACUCGCGGCUUAUCAGCUUGUUGGUGGGGUAGUGGCUUACCAAGGCUUUGACGGGUAGCCGGCCUGAGAGGGUGACCGGCCACAAUGGGACUGAGAGACGGACCAGACGCCUACGGGAGGCAGCAGUGGGGAAUAUUGCACAAUGGGCGGAAGCCUGAUGCAGCAACGCCGCGUGCGGGAUGACGGCCUUCGGGUGGUAAACCGCUUUCGCCUGUGACGAAGCGUGAGUGACGGUAAUGGGUAAAGAAGCACCGGCUAACUACGUG